UACAGAGGGUGCGAGCGUUGUUCGGAAUUAUUGGGCGUAAAGGGCGCGUAGGCGGUGCGGUAAGUCACCUGUGAAAUCUCCUGGCUCAACUGGGAGCUUGCAGGCGAAACUGCCGUGCUGGAGUGUGGGAGAGGUGCGUGGAAUUCCCGGUGUAGCGGUGAAAUGCGUAGAUAUCAGGAAGAACACCCGUGGCUAAGGCGGCUCUCUAGUACGGUACUGACGCUGAGACGCGAAAGCGUGGGGAGCGAACAGG
rnacentral:rRNA from 1 species